GCGAAAGGGACUUCGGUCCUGAGUAAAGUGGCGCACGGGUGAGUAACGCGUGGAUAAUCUACCCAAUGAUCUGGGAUAACAUUUCGAAAGGGGUGCUAAUACCGGAUAAGACCACGGAGUCCCUGGACUCUGCGGUAAAAGGUGGGGACCUUCGGGCCUACCGUCAUCGGAUGAGUCCGCGUACCAUUAGCUAGCUGGCAGGGUAAUGGCCUACCAAGGCAACGAUGGUUAGCUGGUCUGAGAGGAUGAUCAGCCACACUGGAACUGAGACACGGUCCAGACUCCUACGGGAGGCAGCAGUGGGGAAUUUUGCGCAAUGGGGGAAACCCUGACGCAGCAACGCCGCGUGAGUGAUGAAGGCUUUCGGGUCGUAAAGCUCUGUCAGAAGGGAAGAAAUGUGGGUGGCUAAUAUCCAUACCACUUGACGGUACCUUCAAAGGAAGCACCGGCUAACUCCGUGCCAGCAGCCGCGGUAAUACGGAGGGUGCGAGCGUUGUUCGGAAUUAUUGGGCGUAAAGCGCGUGUAGGCAGUCUUUUAAGUCUGAUGUGAAAGCCCUGGGCUCAACCCAGGAAGUGCAUUGGAAACUGGGAGACUUGAAUACGGGAGAGGGUAGUGGAAU
rnacentral:rRNA from 1 species